CCCUCUUUAUCAAAAACAUGUCUUCUUGUUGUAAUAUGAAGUCGUGCCUGCCCAAUGAGGUUUUGAAUGGCCGCGGUAUAUUGACCGUGCAAAGGUAGCAUAAUCAUUAGUCUUUUAAUUGGAGGCUGGAAUGGAAUGGUUUGACGAAAUAAUUACUGUCUCAUUAUGAUAUAUUGAAUUUUACUUUUAAGUUAAAAGGCUUAAAUGAAGAUAGGGGACGUAAGACCCUAUAGAUCUUGAUAAUAUAUAUUAAAUUUUGUGAUUGGUUGUAUUUUAUGAAUAUUAAUAUAUUGUAUUUGGUUGGGGUGACAAGGGAAUAGAAUAACUUCUUAUUUAUUAUACUAUGAUGAUUGGUUUAAUGAUCCUAUAUUAUGGAAUAAAGAUAAAGAUACCUUAGGGAUAACAGCGUAAUUUUAUUGAAGAGUUCAUAUUGAUAAUAAAGAUUGCGACCUCGAUGUUGGAUUAAGAAAAUUAUUAAGAUGCAGGAAC
rnacentral:rRNA from 1 species